rnacentral:tRNA from 1 species
AUUUAUAUAGUUUAAAUAAAACAUUACAUUUUCACUGUAAAAAUAAUAUUUUAUAUGUUUAUAAAUA